rnacentral:rRNA from 1 species
GACGGAGGGUGCAAGCGUUGUUCGGAUUGACUGGGCGUAAAGGGCGUGUAGGCGGUCGGCCAAGUCUGAUGUGAAAGCCCGAGGCUCAGCCUCGGAAGUGCGUCGGAAACUAGUCGGCUGGAGCGCGAUAGAGGAGGGUGGAAUUCCUGGUGUAGCGGUGAAAUGCGUAGAUAUCAGGAGGAACACCGGUGGUGUAAACGGCUUUCUGGACCAUAACUGACGCUGAGGCACGAAAGCGUGGGUAGCAAACAGG